rnacentral:siRNA from 1 species
UUGGUCAUGGAUAAUUUGUUGCA